AAAUAAACAUUUUUUCUACAUAAAUAUUUUCCUAGGCUAAUCCAAUUAAUCAACUAAUUAAAUUAUUUGCUGCACAGUGAUAAAUGAAACUCGUGAUAUCAAUUAUCUUAGUUCACAAAUCUAACUUAAAGUUCUUGGCUUUAAUGAUCAAAUGAUAUUUCUGAUUAUAUCGAAAUAUUACAUGAAUGAUUUCCUCAACAAUGUUAUUCUUGAAUAAAAAUUAACAAAAUUUGAAUGAUAAAGCAAGAUUGUAAUAUAUCAUUUCGAGAUGCAACAAUUAGUUCUACAGCCCUUCUCGAGCAACGAAAAAAAAAAAGGUAAAAGCCAGAGCACAAAGUAACGAACCAAUUAACGAACGACAAAGAACAGAAAUACUAUUUAAAAAAAAGUGUAUUAAUUUAAGAUCAGAUAAAAAUUAGAAAUAAUCAAUAAAUUAGCAUGCUCACGAUUCUAAUAUUACAGAUUCUUACACAAAUUUUCCAGAUAUUAUAAAAAUUCCAAUAGGCACAUUAAAAUUAUUAGCUACCCUUGAAACAUAUCCACACAGCAGAAUCAAUGAACCUUUAAUGAACAAUCACGGAUAAAACGAAUCGAGAAACGAUUCAUUGAUGAAAUAUAUGGAAUAAACAAUAAAAUCAUUCGUUUUUAUAUUUUCAUCGAUACGUACACAAUUCGUGGGAAGAAGAUCUGGAAUAUACAAUCGUUCAAUGAAACCGGAAACUCGGCGAAGAUUAGAGGAACACUAAUUUCCAAGGUCUGGUUCCCUUCGAGCAGAUCCACCCGUCACUGUCGUCGAUAAAUAUGCGUACUCUUGUUGAUUUAUGUGAUCACUGCAACACCAGCAUGGCGGAGGACGAUUCCAUGUAAAGAAGGACGAUGCGGUGUAAAAACAAGUGCAGUGGUUACGACUACGCUAGCGUGUUUAAGCGUCGCGAGGCGUCGCGGCGCAGUCUGUGAAGCGCCACCCGAAUCGCGCAAUCGGAUAGAGGCGAAGUGCGGAUCCAGGUCGAUCAAUAUGACGGGUCAGCAGUCGUUGCCUCGUGCUUACAUUGCGGCAAGAGUAUGUUGGACGGACUAUGAGAAAUACACAGAGACGGUGGAAAACAGGGAGAAAGGGUGAGGAAGGGGGGAGGAGAAAUUUCACGUUUGCGCUGUGGAAAAUAGCAUCGAGUGUUUUUCAUUUUCAUUAAACAAACAUGCGCGUGCACGAAAUAUUGAAAUUAAAUACGAAUGAGAGAAGAUAGAAUCUUAUAUGUUUUUAUAGCUUUGUAUUUUCCUUUUAAAUAUACAUUUUAAUUUUUAAUUGAAGCUGAAAAGAUUAUAUAUUUUUUAAAAAUCUUCAUUGAAUAUAGUGUAUUUUAGUUGUAAUCUGUCUAUCCGCGAAUAUUUAUAUUAUCGAUAUAAUUGCUAGUAUAAUGUGUUGAUUAAUUAUAAAUUUAUACAGUUAAUCAAAUCUCUUGAGCAUAAAUUGUAAAGUAUAGAGAAAGCAAAGAAUGGGAGAAGGAAAUAUAUGAUAAAAAUAUUGAAAUUAGCAUCAUCUUCAGAAUGCCGCAAAUAAAUCACAGUAAACAAAGAUAAUAAAUGAUUGAAAAAGAUAGAGAUAAUAAGAAUUGAUUUUCAAUGACAUCUUGUGAGUGCCAAUAACAUCUUUUUAAAGUUUUUUUAAAAAUAAACUAAAGCAGUCGAGAGAUAGCGCUGAUUAUCGAUUCUUAAUUUAUCUUUUUUCUAAAACUCAAGAGAUGGCGCUAGUUAUAUAUUCUUAAUCUAUAAUAUUUCUGAAACUCAAGAGAUGGCGCUAGUUAUAUAUUCUUAAUUUAUCAUAUUUUUUAAAACUCGAGAGAUGGCGCUAAUUAUAAAUUCCUGAUUUAUCUUGUUUCUAAAACUCGAGAGAUGGCGCUGGUUAUAAAUUCUUAACUUGUCUUACUUUUGAAAUUCAAGAGAUGGCGUUAAUUAUCAAUUUUUAAUUUAUUUUGCUUUAUCCAACGAAAUUCUGAUAAUAUAUUAGUAUAUUAUUUAUAGACAAUCGUAAUAAUAAUCAUUGAUAAUGAUAAAUAUCAAAUAUAUAUAUUUAUAAGUUGAAUUUAUUCUCCUCGAAUUUAUUCUUUAAAAUGUUAAAAAUAAAUGUAUAAUUUAUAAUGAGGCUCUUUAUAAUUCUAAACUAUGAAGCACAAAAAUGUAUUAGAUAAUAAAUUCUGUACUUUAUCAAUAAAACGUUUUUCGCAAAA